GUAACGCUGACCUCGUUCCCGGCAUCGUAUGAGUCGACCAGUCUAGAGGUGACGUUGCAACGGACACUAGCUGUUGAUGAACUGACAGUCCAGGUGACCACGACGGAUGUGACGACAGCAGCUGAUGACUUCACACACCUGUCCGAUAGUUCUGUCACUUUCCCCAGCGGUUCACUCACUGCCACGUUAACCAUUGAUAUCACAGAUGAUGACGAAAUUGAAGGUGAUGAGGUCUUCACACUGAGUAUUGCUGGGGCAAACUUCUCCUCCAUUAAUGCCACGAUAGUAGACAAUGAGGGAAGUAGGCCUUUUGACUGCCGCCGGAAGGGUAGCGGGUGCUCAGCUUCAGAAGACGUGUGUCGCCCAACAUUGCCACUGUGUGAAUGUGUUGGUGAUCCCCCAAGGGAGGGCGACAUGUGCAACAUUGUAACAG